rnacentral:rRNA from 1 species
CAGCCGCCGCGGUAAUACGUAGGUGGCAAGCGUUAUCCGGAAUUAUUGGGCGUAAAGGGCUCGCAGGCGGUUUCUUAAGUCUGAUGUGAAAGCCCCCGGCUCAACCGGGGAGGGUCAUUGGAAACUGGGAAACUUGAGUGCAGAAGAGGAGAGUGGAAUUCCACGUGUAGCGGUGAAAUGCGUAGAGAUGUGGAGGAACACCAGUGGCGAAGGCGACUCUCUGGUCUGUAACUGACGCUGAGGAGCGAAAGCGUGGGGAGCGAACAGGAUUAGAUACCCCCGUAGUCCCUGUCUCUUAUAC